rnacentral:rRNA from 1 species
AUGACGUCAAAUCAGCACGGCCCUUAUGUCCAGGGCUACACACGUGUUACAAUGGCCGGUACAGAGGGCAGCUACCUGGAGACAGGAUGCGAAUCUCGAAAGCCGGUCUCAGUUCGGAUCGGAGUCUGCAACUCGACUCCGUGAAGCUGGAUUCGCUAGUAAUCGCGCAUCAGCCAUGGCGCGGUGAAUACGUUCCCGGGCCUU